rnacentral:rRNA from 1 species
GGUUAAGCGACUAAGCGUACACGGUGGAUGCCCUGGCAGUCAGAGGCGAUGAAGGACGUGCUAAUCUGCGAUAAGCGUCGGUAAGGUGAUAUGAACCGUUAUAACCGGCGAUUUCCGAAUGGGGAAACCCAGUGUGAUUCGUCACACUAUCAUUAACUGAAUCCAUAGGUUAAUGAGGCGAACCGGGGGAACUGAAACAUCUAAGUACCCCGAGGAAAAGAAAUCAACCGAGAUUCCCCCAGUAGCGGCGAGCGAACGGGGAGCAGCCCAGAGCCUGAAUCAGUGUGUGUGUUAGUGGAAGCGUCUGGAAAGGCGCGCGAUACAGGGUGACAGCCCCGUACACAAAAAUGCACAUACUGUGAGCUCGAUGAGUAGGGCGGGACACGUGGUAUCCUGUCUGAAUAUGGGGGGACCAUCCUCCAAGGCUAAAUACUCCUGACUGACCGAUAGUGAACCAGUACCGUGAGGGAAAGGCGAAAAGAACCCCGGCGAGGGGAGUGAAAAAGAACCUGAAACCGUGUACGUACAAGCAGUGGGAGCACGCUUAGGCGUGUGACUGCGUACCUUUUGUAUAAUGGGUCAGCGACUUAUAUUCUGUAGCAAGGUUAACCGAAUAGGGGAGCCGAAGGGAAACCGAGUCUUAACUGGGCGUUAAGUUGCAGGGUAUAGACCCGAAACCCGGUGAUCUAGCCAUGGGCAGGUUGAAGGUUGGGUAACACUAACUGGAGGACCGAACCGACUAAUGUUGAAAAAUUAGCGGAUGACUUGUGGCUGGGGGUGAAAGGCCAAUCAAACCGGGAGAUAGCUGGUUCUCCCCGAAAGCUAUUUAGGUAGCGCCUCGUGAAUUCAUCUCCGGGGGUAGAGCACUGUUUCGGCAAGGGGGUCAUCCCGACUUACCAACCCGAUGCAAACUGCGAAUACCGGAGAAUGUUAUCACGGGAGACACACGGCGGGUGCUAACGUCCGUCGUGAAGAGGGAAACAACCCAGACCGCCAGCUAAGGUCCCAAAGUCAUGGUUAAGUGGGAAACGAUGUGGGAAGGCCCAGACAGCCAGGAUGUUGGCUUAGAAGCAGCCAUCAUUUAAAGAAAGCGUAAUAGCUCACUGGUCGAGUCGGCCUGCGCGGAAGAUGUAACGGGGCUAAACCAUGCACCGAAGCUGCGGCAGCGACGCUUAUGCGUUGUUGGGUA